rnacentral:lncRNA from 1 species
UUGAGCCAAGGAAUGGGAGGCGCCCUAGCCUGCCCGCAGGCCACAGCGCUUGGAAUCCUGCCUUCCCUGCUAUCUCCCUGAGGCAAGGGGUUGGAGGAGUGUUUCUCAAUGAGUCUCCACCUUACUUAUUGAGACACAGUGUGUCACUGAACCUGGAGCUCACUGACUCAACUUGACUGGGUAGCCAACAAACCCUAGGGACCCUGCUAUCCCUCAGCUUCUCCAGGAUUGUGAUUCCAUGCAUGUAUCACCGUGCCCAGACGUUCUGACAAAUGCUCUAACAUUAAGCCAAGUGAAAUCAGCCAGUGACAAAAAUACAAAUGUUCUGAUCACACUUAACUAAGCUUCCUGUGUCUCUCAGCUUCCCCGAGAGACACUUCUCCUUGGUACCAGCUGUGCCUUCCCUGGGUGUGCAGCUGAGUUGUUUGCAGUUAACGAGCUUCAGAAAAUGUCAGCAUGAGCUGGGGACCGAACCCAGGGCCUUGUGCUUCCUAGGAAGCUGGAACAUGUGUGCCCGGGAGGAAGAGGGAAGCAUGGCUGAGGUGAGCAGCUACGUCUCUGCUACAGGUACUCUGGUGUAUGAGAAUGGCAAGAAAUGCCCAAACUAUGAGGUUUUGCGGAAGGUAGAAGUACCAGAAUCUGUUGACUCCAAGGUAUCUGACCCGAAUAGUGGGAAAGAACGAAGUAACCAUACAAGAUGGUGGAUGACAAAAACUCAUGCAGUUUUGAGAUAACUGUAAACUAUGCACAUGGAGACAUCAAAUAGGCAGUUAAAUAAGCAAGUUUACCUCUCAAAGGUACUCUCAAAACAUGCUAUGUAAGGGACCUUUGGGACAGUGGCAGUUGUUAAAGCCACUUGGACUCUAAAUAUGAACUUACUUCAUAAUCACUGAAUUCUAUUCAUCUGAAAAGUACAUUUUCUCGUGCCUUUGAAACUGGAAUGUAUUUUCCAACACUCAGUAGAAUCUUCCAUCAUUGUGAUUGGCAGCAUCUUCUUUCCUUGUCAGCGGCAUUUGAUCUAGUGAUGUAUCUUGUAAUAGAUGGUACCCCAGGUUCAAUGAAAUAUAAUAAUAGUAAAAGGCUGAUAAUAAGGAAUACUGACUACUGUAGUCAGGUAACCUCCUAGUCCACUCUAUGACUAUGUUUAUAUGUAGUUAAAAUAUAGAACGGUGAAAGAGGAGAUAGCUCAAUAGCUAAAAAGACUUGAGUUCAUCUCCCAACCCACAUGAGAAAAAGCCAGAUAUGGUGGUAUAUGCUUAUAAUGGUGGCAAUGGGAAGGUGGACAAAGAUGAAUUUCUGGGGCUCACUGGCCAGCCAGUGUAGCUUUCUUGUCAAGUUCCAGGUCAGUGAGAGACCCUGUCUCCAGUGGGGCGCUGGAAAGAUAGCUCAGUGAUUAAGAACACUAGCUGCUCUUUCAGAUGACCCAAGUUAAUUCCCAACACCCAUGCCAAGCAGUUCACAACCAGCUGUAACUCCAACUCCAAGGGAUCUGAAACACCCUUUUGCCUUCCAACAGGACUCCUACACAUGUUGCAUACACAUACACAAACACAUAGAUAAAAA